AAACAUGCAGUCGAGCGGACAGAAGGGAGCUUGCUCCCGGAUGUUAGCGGCGGACGGGUGAGUAACACGUGGGUAACCUGCCUGUAAGACUGGGAUAACUCCGGGAAACCGGAGCUAAUACCGGAUAGUUCCUUGAACCGCAUGGUUCAAGGAUGAAAGACGGUUUCGGCUGUCACUUACAGAUGGACCCGCGGCGCAUUAGCUAGUUGGUGAGGUAACGGCUCACCAAGGCGACGAUGCGUAGCCGACCUGAGAGGGUGAUCGGCCACACUGGGACUGAGACACGGCCCAGACUCCUACGGGAGGCAGCAGUAGGGAAUCUUCCGCAAUGGACGAAAGUCUGACGGAGCAACGCCGCGUGAGUGAUGAAGGUUUUCGGAUCGUAAAGCUCUGUUGUUAGGGAAGAACAAGUGCAAGAGUAACUGCUUGCACCAUGACGGUACCUAACCAGAAAGCCACGGCUAACUACGUGCCAGCAGCCGCGGUAAUACGUAGGUGGCAAGCGUUGUCCGGAAUUAUUGGGCGUAAAGGGCUCGCAGGCGGUUUCUUAAGUCUGAUGUGAAAGCCCCCGGCUCAACCGGGGAGGGUCAUUGGAAACUGGGAAACUUGAGUGCAGAAGAGGAGAGUGGAAUUCCACGUGUAGCGGUGAAAUGCGUAGAGAUGUGGAGGAACACCAGUGGCGAAGGCGACUCUCUGGUCUGUAACUGACGCUGAGGAGCGAAAGCGUGGGGAGCGAACAGGAUUAGAUACCCUGGUAGUCCACGCCGUAGACGAUGAGUGCUAAGUGUUAGGGGGUUUCCGCCCCUUAGUGCUGCAGCUAACGCAUUAAGCACUCCGCCUGGGGAGUACGGUCGCAAGACUGAAACUCAAAGGAAUUGACGGGGGCCCGCACAAGCGGUGGAGCAUGUGGUUUAAUUCGAAGCAACGCGGAGAACCUUACCAGGUCUUGACAUCCUCUGACAACCCUAGAGAUAGGGCUUUCCCUUCCG
rnacentral:rRNA from 1 species